GGGCUAAUACGUGCGAAGCGCCCGAAGCCGCGAGGCGACGGGCGUUCUCGCCGGAUGUAGGAACCGACCCGGGGACCGCCGGGGCAACCCGGCGCCCCGAGACGGGGCGAACCACGGUGAAAUGACGGAUCGUCGGCCCCGCGCCGGCGACUCGCCGAAUGAGUUUCUGACCUAUCAACUCGAGACGGCGGGGUAGAGGCCCGCCGCGGUAACGACGGGUAACGGGGAAUCAGGGUUCGAUUCCGGAGAGGGAGCCCGAGAAACGGCUACCACUUCCAAGGAGGCAGCAGGCGCGCAACUUACCCUAAUCUCGAUUCGAGGAGGUAGUGACAAGAAAUACCGAUGCGGGACCCUACGGGUGCCGCGUUCGGAAUGAGUACGAUUCGAACCACCUAACGAGGAACGAUCGGA
rnacentral:rRNA from 1 species